CUGCAACUAGCAGAUGCCGCCAUAGUCCCGAGGCACCGUCUGGCAAGGCUGCCCUCACGGCAAAACAGGUUUAAUUUUGGCAGACGCCUUUCGUCAAGCAUGGUACUUCGGGCAAAUCAACCCAUCUGAAGUGCGAUACAAAAGUGCAACCAGUGGCAUUGCACCGAAGUUGCGAACUCUUCAAGUGCUUUGACAUCUGUGAGUGUACCGUCCUUCAAUUAUACUCCGUGUCGCUAGUUGUGUGUA